rnacentral:rRNA from 1 species
UACGAAGGGGGCUAGCGUUGCUCGGAAUUACUGGGCGUAAAGGGCGCGUAGGCGGACAGUUUAGUCAGAGGUGAAAGCCCAGGGCUCAACCUUGGAAUUGCCUUUGAUACUGGCUGCCUUGAGUUCGGGAGAGGUGAGUGGAAUGCCGAGUGUAGAGGUGAAAUUCGUAGAUAUCAGGAGGAACACCAAUGGCGAAGGCAGCACUCUGGGACGUGACUGACGCUGAGGCGCGAAAGCGUGGGGAGCAAACAGG